CCAAUAGCGUAUAUUAAAGUUGUUGCAGUUAAAAAGCUCGUAGUUGAAUUUCGGGAUUGACACAUCGGUCGUGCCUUAAGGGGUAUGAACUGGUGUAGUCAAUUUCUCACCUUCUGGAGAACCGCGAUGCCCUUAAUUGGGUGUCGCGGGGAACCAGGACCUUUACUUUGAAAAAAUUAGAGUGUUUAAAGCAGGCAUUUUGCUUGAAUACAUUAGCAUGGAAUAAUAAAAUAGGACGGCAUGGCUCUAUUUUGUUGGUUUCUAGGACCACCGUAAUGAUUAAUAGGGAUAGUUGGGGGCAUUAGUAUUCAAUUGUCAGAGGUGAAAUUCUUGGAUUUAUUGAAGACUAACUACUGCGAAAGCAUUUGCCAAGGAUGUUUUCAUUAAUCAAGAACGAAAGUUAGGGGAUCGAAGACGAUCAGAUACCGUCGUAGUCUUAACCAUAAACUAUGCCGACUAGGAAUCAGACGAUGUUAAUUUUUUAAUGACUCGUUUGGCACCUUACG
rnacentral:rRNA from 1 species